CUUCAUUUCCCAUUUGUCUGUUGCAGACAACGAACGACAGUUAGCCAUAACAACGUCGUCUGUACUCUGUACCAAAACCACGCUUUUUUCUUUAACCAUAUUUCGUCGCUCCUUAGUUGAUUAAUGUAAGCGUUUUUUAAGUUGGCAAAAACUAGAAGGUUAAGUGGAAGAUCGCAGACCACAAUUUUAUACUUGUAGGGUCUCUUAACAUUGACAACAAGAGAAUUAAUUGAAACAUGGAUAAAUUUUUAAUUAAAAAGACCAAGGAACCACCAUCAUCUGGAAUUUCAAGAGGAAUGAAACAAGCCAGUCUUCACCAACUUGGUGGAGUUGUGAUUUUAGAAGAUUUGACGUCAGCCAAUCAACAACUCUCAAAUCCUGAAAUUUCACCUGAUCAGAAAAUUUAUAUUCUUAACAAGUUGAAGAACAAGAAACCUGCCAAAGAAAUUCUUAAAUCUACCGGAAUCGGUCGCACAGUUCAUCGCCUUUGUCGAGAUGAAAACCCUAUUGUUUCGUGUGCAGCUAACGAGGUUUAUGGUUUCUGGAAGACCCAUAUACUACACCUUCUCCGGAGGAAGCCAAUCGAAGUGGAAAGUGACGCUGAAACCAAGCGUGGUAGAGCCAGUGCCAAAAAGAUGAUUAACCUUGCAUUAAACAACUCUGUGAUUGCCGAAGAGAUUGAAAUUCACGUUUUUAACAAGUGCAAAAAAAUUAUGAAUCAUACCUAUAAUCGUGUCAUAAGAAAAAUUCACUUUUGCUUCAAAGGUAACGAAGAUCAAAAGCGGCGAGUGAAUGAAAUGAACAGUGAUCUAAAAGAGUUUGUGGAAGAAAUGUACCGGGAUGUGAUGAAAGUAUAUGCGAAACAGUGAAAUGUACAAGAACAAGUUUCGUGUAAUGUGGACAUAACGCUCAGCAAUCCGCACGCCUCAUGUGACUAGGGUAUUCUGCGUUGAUGGAUGGCAGAGAGGGAGCGGGACAGCAUGGAAGAAAGGCGGUAGCUAUAGGAUAAUAGCCCAUGUGAGGGCGAUCGAAAAUUCGUGCUUCCAACUAGGGCGGAAAACACCACCACCAACAAACCUAAAUUUAACAAGAAUAUUUUUGUUUUAACUCCAUGAUGUUUUAAACAAGAACGAUACAGGCAGUUAGCCUUGAAGGGUUUCAUAACAGUAAAUCAAUAUUUAUUCGUAAAUACUCGGUGAUUAUCCAUGAGAAUCACAAUUUCUUCAAUUGAAAUCGUAAAGCAACGAAAUUUUUAGAAACGGGAGACGACCCGGACAAACCCUGCACGUCACACGGAUGGCGUUCGAGAUGACGAGUUAUUUCGUUGGAAGCUGUACCGGGGCGACUUCUGUUCAAUAGUUGAAGUACUUGAAUAUACUCCAAUUCAGUGUAUUGAGAUCCGCGCUCCAGAAUACCAUUUAAUAUUUCCUGUGGAAUUAAGACAUAAUCAAUGCAUUUAUGCAAUUGCAAAACUAUCUACGGAUUCGCUUAAAUGUGCUGCCAAACACAAUCAUGCUCCAAGCUACAUUCAUAAAGCCCAUCCUUACUUCCAUUCCUUGAAGGAACGAGGAAUCCUUCAUUAAUGCAGCAUAACAAACCAAUUGCUUCACUCGAAAAAAGCAGAAAGUGUCCUUUACCUCUGGCGUUACGCAAAGCAGCUCAAAAUAUUGGCGCGCAUGGUCCAACGCUGGUUCGCGGGCCAAAGUGAUGCUGGUUAACGUUUGCUGCAAGGCGAAAAUAUUGCGACACAUCUUUUUGACGCCAUUUUCAUUCAUCCGCCGGAUAUGCUGCACCGAUGACAUUAUGAUACUGGAUACAAGAGUUACCCUUGACUGCUUCCGACAACUUCUAGCAUCAGUGAUUUUACUUUUGGUGCGUCGUUUUUCGAAAUUAAGUUUCCAGAGGUCCUGCCAGAGGAAUUGCGUCCACUUGAUGCUCUUUGAAAAGGAGCUUGAGAAGUUGCAGCACGUUUCCACUGCAGUACGUCAAUGGACGAUUUUACGUAGAUAUAGUGAUUCAAGUCUUCCAGAAGAAUUUUGUAAAAUCGCUAUCAAGUAUUAAUGAAACAACUUUGGUUAAUAUAUUAUUGUUGGUGAAUACAUGUAAUACCUCUUG
rnacentral:misc_RNA from 1 species